AUGACACAUAGAGCAAGGAUUCCUUAGGGGAGGUCAUGUGACCUGAUUAAGCCCAGAAGAACGAGGUAACAAUGAGCACAACCCACAGCACAGCGAACACAGGAGCGCAGUCGUGUUACUCUCAGUUCUACAUGGAGAAAUCAUUCAUCUUACUGAUUGUCACCAUCACCACAGGACUGAGUGCUGGUGAUGAUAUCAGACCUGAAAAGGAUCAACAGUCCGCUACAGAAGGAGAAUCCGUGACACUGAGCUGUAAAUACAGUACUAACAGUGACAAUGUUUAUCUCUACUGGUACAGACAGAACCUGAACCAGGCUCCUCAGUACCUUCUCUACAAGGGGGCCCGAUCAUAUAGCAGCGAGCAUACAACAGAUGAGAGAUUCAAAUGUACCACAUCCAGGGACUCAACCCAGCUCACCAUCGAAGCUCUUACCAUGUCAGACACAGCCAUCUACUACUGUGCUCUGAGGGUGGCACAGUGGAGUUACAGACUGAAGCUGAAGUCGCACCUCCAUGUCCAGUUCUCCUCUACAGCACUGACAGACUCUGCGAUGUACUACUGUGCCCUGAGGCCCACAGUGACAGGAAACCCGUUUACUCGGUACAAAAACCUCAUUAAGACCAGCAGCAAUGGAAUGUGGCUGCACUACAAUCAUCUCCAGGGAAGAUGUCCAGCAUCUGGUUAUUCCUACAAGUAG